rnacentral:ncRNA from 1 species
GCUGGAAUGGUGCGGGAAAUAGUUGAUGAACACAAAGCCCCGCGUCUGAUCGAUGAUGUGGAACAGCGGAUUCCAGUCGAACCAGUCGAUCAUCUUUCUGGGCAACUGGUUGGCGACGAACAUCUUGCCCGACGCGAUCAUGCUGGCCCGG